rnacentral:rRNA from 1 species
UGCGUAGGCGGUUUGAUAAGCGGAGUGUGAAAUCCCCGGGCUUAACCUGGGAACUGCAUUCCGAACUGUCAAGCUAGAGUAUGAUAGAGGGUGGUGGAAUUCCGAGUGUAGCGGUGAAAUGCGUAGAUAUUCGGAGGAACACCAGUGGCGAAGGCGACCACCUGGAUCAAUACUGACGCUGAGGCACGAAAGCGUGGGAGCAAACA